AGUGAACGCUGGCGGUAGGCCUAACACAUGCAAGUCGAACGGCAGCACAGUAAGAGCUUGCUCUUACGGGUGGCGAGUGGCGGACGGGUGAGGAAUACAUCGGAAUCUACUUUUUCGUGGGGGAUAACGUAGGGAAACUUACGCUAAUACCGCAUACGACCUACGGGUGAAAUCAGGGGAUCUUCGGACCUUGCCCGAUUGAAUGAGCCGAUGUCGGAUUAGCUAGUUGGCGGGGUAAAGGCCCACCAAGGCAACGAUCCGUAGCUGGUCUGAGAGGAUGAUCAGCCACACUGGAACUGAGACACGGUCCAGACUCCUACGGGAGGCAGCAGUGGGGAAUAUUGGACAAUGGGCGCAAGCCUGAUCCAGCAAUACCGCGUGGGUGAAGAAGGCCUUCGGGUUGUAAAGCCCUUUUGUUGGGAAAGAAAAGAAGCAGGUUAAUACCCCGCUGUUCUGACGGUACCCAAAGAAUAAGCACCGGCUAACUUCGUG
rnacentral:rRNA from 1 species